rnacentral:rRNA from 1 species
GGCUAAAAGCCCAUUGCACAAACUCACCAAUCGUUACACACUCCAUACAAUACAUAAAAUUAUUUAUAUGGGUUAGUAUUUUUUAACAACCCCCACACUACCUACAUUAAGCACCGCAAGGGUAAAUGAUUCAUUACAUACAACAAAAAGUAAACUCCUGUACCUUUUGCAUCAUGUAAAUGCAACACACAACAAUCAACAACUGUCUCCCGAAAAAUGGAGAGCUACUAUUAACAACCACACAAUUACUUAAUGUUUCAAUAUUAAAAAACAGUUAACAGUAGCAGCAAAAUACCUUACGAACCAUUUGAUAGCUGGUUGCUCCUAAAAGAUAUAUAAGUGUCACCUUACAGAGAAUUCAAUACUAUACUACAUGUAAGAGAAACUUGAGUGGGGAUAAGCCCAUUUAAGUCAAAUAGAAGUAAAAUUAAGUUAAAUAUUCUAAGAUAGGCCUAAAAACAGCCAACAAUACCCGUUAAAGGGACGAACACGUAAUACCACCGUAUGAAAUAAAUCACCCUAAAAUUAAGGAACCCUAUAAAGUAACACAACACCUAUAACGAACCGGCAUUUAUUAGUAUCAGGGAAUAUUAAAACAAGAAUAAACAAUAAAUAAUAUCUCACCUAAACAACCUCCACAACCGAUAACCGUAAGUAAUGAACUCGGCAAAUAAUCUCUUUGCCUGUUUACCAAAAACAUCGUCUUUUGAUUGCACCAGAUAGAAGAUACUGCCUGCCCAAUGAUACCAUCAUAUUAAAUGGCCGCGUUAGCGUGAGCGUGCUAAGGUAGCGUAAUAAUUAGCUUCCUAAUUAGAAGCCAGUGAAUGGCAAAACAAAGAGAAACUCUAUCUCUUACGACUAGAAAAUUUUCCAAUUAAGUGAAAAGGCUUAAAUAAAAGAGAAAGACAAAAAGACCCCGCGGAACUUCCUGAACCUCUAACCCUUAAACACAGACCAUAGAGUCAUUCAGGUUGGUUGGGGCAACCUUGGAACAACCUAAACUUCCAACAGCAAAAUAAAAAAAUAGAAAAUUUGAUACAGACCACAACUGCAGUUACCCCGGGGAUAACAGCGUAAUCCAGCUCAAGAGUACGCAUCAAAAGCUGGGUUUGCGACCUCGAUGUUGGCUUAGGGACGCAGCUUGGCGCAACCGCUAAGAUACCUGCCAGUCUGUUCGACUGCAAAGACCCUACAUGAGCUGAGUUAAGACCGGCGAGAGCUAGGUUGGAUUCUACCUUCUCAACAAAACAGACUCUUUAUUGUACGAAAGGACCUAAAGAGCCACAUUUAACAAGUGACAUUAAAUAAACCCACUAAUCUACCAUUAUUACCUGAAACAGGUAAA